CUCGCCUGUUUAUCAAAAACAUGGCCUUUUGUAAAUAUAUAAGGUUUGACCUGCCCACUGAUAAAAUGAAGGGCCGCGGUAUUUUGACCGUGCAAAGGUAGCAUAAUCAUUAGUCUCUUAAUUGGAGGCUGGAAUGAAGGGUUUGACGAAAUACUAGCUGUCUCUUUUAAAAGAUUUAAAUUUAACUUUUAAGUGAAAGGGCUUAAAUAAAAUUGGAGGACGAGAAGACCCUAUAAAUCUUUAUAAUAAUAUUAUAAAAAUUUUAGUAGAUUUUUUUAUAUAAAAUAAGUUAUUGUAUUGGGGUGAUAAGAAAAUAGAAUUAACUUUUUUAAAAAAACAUAUGUAUAUGAGUGUAUGAUCCACAAAGAUGUGAUUAGAAGAAUAAGUUACUUUAGGGAUAACAGCGUAAUCUUUUUGGAGAGUUCUAAUCGAUAAAAGGGUUUGCGACCUCGAUGUUGGACUAAGAGAUAGUUUAGGUGUAGCCGCUUAAUAUAUUUGGUCUGUUCGACCAUUAAAAUCUUACAUGAUCUGAGUUCAAACCGGAGA
rnacentral:rRNA from 1 species